GCCGUAUAGCUUAAUAGCAGAGCGUUGUUUAUUCAAAGGUGUCGGUGCAAAUCCGACUAGGCA
rnacentral:tRNA from 1 species